AAUUACUUGACUUGCACUCGAAGUAGAGACUUCAGGAGCAACUUCAACAGGCAGAGGCGGAGAUGUUUUCUCAAUCACUACUGGAAACUGUGGAUGCAGGUUAAUUGUUGAAAUUCCAGGAGAAAGCUGAGGCUGUCCAGGCUCUAGUAUUUGCUUUUCUUGAUCAAGUGAAACUAAUUCCUGAUCAGGGGCUGCAGUUGCCACUUCUUGCACAGCCAUGUCAGGCUCACUUUUCUGUGAGAAGGUCAGUGCCUCCACCGGCUCUUCCUUUGCUGGGAGAGGUGGAGGAGAAGUACCUUUAGCAACAGGUUGAGUAAUCGGGGUCUUGCCAAUGACAGGUGGCUGUACUCUAACUGCAGGGUGAUGAUAUAGCUUGUUUCUGUGAGGGCCAGAAACCGUAUAACCCAUUCCACCAGGGCAGAUUUCCUUAAAAGCAGCUGUUCCUGGAAGGGGGCACUUCUCACAGUUUGGGCCCCAGGCUUUUCCAACACUGCAACAGCAAAGCUGCUUGCUGAGCUGCACAGAAAGAGGAUGCAUGCAUUGCUUUCCUGCACUAACAAACCGGUAGCAGGGUCCUUUCUCUUCAGCAACGAUAGGACUAUCAGCUAUGCAUCUUGAAAGGGUAGGAUCUGGCACAAAUCCCAUUUUGCAGGUACAUCUGUAGCUGCCCAUGGUAUUCAAACACUCACCAUUAGGGCACACUCCCUGUAACUGACAUUCAUUGAUAUCUUGACAAAACGUAGCAUUGAUC
rnacentral:lncRNA from 1 species